rnacentral:rRNA from 1 species
ACUCCUACGGGAGGCAGCAGUGGGGAAUAUUGCACAAUGGGCGCAAGCCUGAUGCAGCCAUGCCGCGUGUAUGAAGAAGGCCUUCGGGUUGUAAAGUACUUUCAGUCAGUGAGGAAGGAGUGGAGUCGUUAAUAGCGGCCUCAUUUGACGUUAGCUGCAGAAGAAGCACCGGCUAACUCCGUGCCAGCAGCCGCGGUAAUACGGAGGGUGCGAGCGUUAAUCGGAAUUACUGGGCGUAAAGCGCAUGCAGGUGGUUUGUUAAGUCAGAUGUGAAAGCCGG